rnacentral:lncRNA from 1 species
GGGUUAUAUAGGGGAUAUACGGGGGGAUAUGGGGUCAUAUAGGGAAUACAUGGGGGGAUAUGGGUUGUGGGGUCACUAUGGGAUUAUAUGGGGGGAUAUGGGGAGAUAUGGGGGGUUAUAGGGUUCUGUGUGUCCCUAUGUGUCCCUAUGGGUCUCUAUGGGUCUCUAUAUGUCCCUAUGUGUCCCUACGUAUCGCUCUGCCCCCCCACCUGUCAAUCACUGUCGCCGCGUUCCCAUUGGCUGUCCCGGUUUCCAUGGCAGCGCUGCUCCCUCCCCCGCUGCACGUUGCGUCCUUCUCUUCACGCCCACCACCCGCGGCACUGCGCCUUCCACCUGCGGGACUGGGAUAUCGCGAGACUACAGCGCCUCCUGCAGGUGGGGAGGAGUCAUUGCAUCCAAUGGGGUUAUAUAGCGCCUCCUGCAGGUGGGGAGGAGUCAUUGCAUCCAAUGGGGUUAUAUAGGGAUCUAUGGGUCUAUAUAGCGCCUCCUGCAGGUGGGCGGAGUCUCGUACGACACUGAGCCCCCACCUGGAGUCACCCCCCCACCCGGAGGCGGCUGUUGGUUGGAGGAGCUGAAGGAGCCGCCGGGUGCCCCCCCCCACGACGCCCCAUGUGGGAGACCCACAGAUGUGGGGCAGGCCGGGCUGUGCCG